rnacentral:lncRNA from 1 species
GUGGUUGAGUAAAACAAUAUGCAGACGUUCUACCAUCUGAUCUAAUAGGAUGUAGUGAAUUUCCUUCUUAACAAGAAGCACACAUCAAACAUGUCCAGUUACCAAGGCCCAGAUAGACAAAGGUAUUUAGAUGCCUAAUUCCCACUGAUUUCAAUGGGAGUUUGGUGUCUAAGUACCUUUAAGGAUCUGGAGCCUAACUUCCAGAGACAGUUGGGGAAUGGACAGAAGCUCUGUCAUUCUUUCCACAUGGUAAUUUUAUGGAAAUGAGUUUGAACAUCAUCCUUAAAACAAAGUUCUCUUCAUGAAGAGAAUUCCCCAAAUGCAAUGUAUUUUGUAAGGCGGAGAGGGUUCUGCUGCAGCUGAUUCUGAAGACUCAGCUCAUCUUCUACUUUUAUGAGUGCCUGCCUCUUGCCCACUGGCACUAUCUGUAAACCACGUACACGUUGCUAGGUACGACAAAUAUGUCUCACGCCACAAAGGCUCCCUCAAGGCUGCAAAAUAAAAUAACUGCAUUGUCUAUUAAUUGUCUUUCUCCUGAGUCUUAUACUCCUAGGCCUCACUGGCUUUGAGUGAUGAUCUAUUAGGCCAAGGCAGUUAGGCAAGCAGAGGGUGGUACUGUAUUAUUUUAUUAUGCUGCCCACUCUGGGAGUGGCUGGGGUGGUUCUUUAAGAUGCUCUGGCAUGUAUCCCUUCUGGCAUAGGCUGCUUCCUCAGGGAGCCAUUGUUUUUGUACUGGGCUGGAUUUAUUUUCUUGCAUGAUUAUUUUUUCCUGGCACAGCUUCUAAGCACUGUUUUGAAGGUGUUUCGCAGACAGUCUUUCACACUUUGGUAGUAAUAACACAUUCUGGUGCUGUUGACACAAUGAUGUAUUUCUUGUUGGGUGAAGUUUACAGGCCACAUUGUUCCUGUCAAGCCAGGAGAGCAAUUGAGCUAGUAGGAUAUCCAGAUAAGAAACUCCCACAGGCGUCCUCUCCUCUUCCCCCAUUUUGAUGGUAGUAGCAUUUCCAAACUGUACUGAAAGAGAAGGGUUCAAGACACGAAAUUUGAAACCAGAUUUUGAACACCUUUAUAGUUGAG